rnacentral:rRNA from 1 species
CCUACGGGAGGCAGCAGUGGGGAAUAUUGCACAAUGGGCGAAAGCCUGAUGCAGCAACGCCGCGUGAGCGAUGAAGGCCUUCGGGUCGUAAAGCUCUGUCCUCAAGGAAGAUAAUGACGGUACUUGAGGAGGAAGCCCCGGUUAACUACGUGCCAGCAGCCGCGGGAAUACGUAGGGGGCUAGCGUUAUCCGGAAUUACUGGGCGUAAAGGGUGCGUAGGUGGUUUCUUAGGUCAGAGGUGAAAGGCUACGGCUCAACCGUAGUAAGCCUUUGAAACUGGGGAACUUGAGUGCAGGAGAGGAGAGUGGAAGUCCUAGUGUAGCGGUGAAAUGCGUAGAUAUUA